GUGCUUUCUUUGGCAGCACAUAUACUAAAAUUGGAGCAAUACAGAGAAGAUUAGUGUGGCUCCUGUUCAAGGAUGGCAUGCAAAUUUGUGCAACAUUCCAUAUUUUU
ensembl:snRNA U6 spliceosomal RNA